rnacentral:rRNA from 1 species
CCUACGGGGGGCUGCAGUGAGGAAUAUUGGGCAAUGGGCGCAAGCCUGACCCAGCCAUGCCGCGUGAAGGAUGAAUGCCCUAUGGGUUGUAAACUUCUUUUGUACGGGACGAAUCUCUCGAACGUGUUCGGGACUGACUGUACCGUGCGAAUAAGCAUCGGCUAACUCCGUGCCAGCAGCCGCGGUAAUACGGAGGAUGCAAGCGUCAUCCGGAUUCAUUGGGUUUUAGGGGGGCGAAUAAGUCAGAAGUGAAAGCCUGCGGCUUAACCGUAGAAUUGCCAUUGAUACUGUUUUUCUUGAGUAUAGUUGAAGUGGGCGGAAUGUGUAAUGUAGCGGUGAAAUGCUUAGAUAUUACACAGAACACCAAUUGCGAAGGCAGCUCACUAAGCUGUUACUGACGCUGAGGCACGAAAGCGUGGGGAGCAAACAGGAUUAGAUACCCGUGUAGUC